UACGUAGGGGGCAAGCGUUGUCCGGAUUUAUUGGGCGUAAAGAGCGUGUAGGCGGCUAGGUAGGUCCGUUGUGAAAACUCGAGGCUCAACCUCGAGCUGUCGAUGGAAACCAUCUGGCUAGAGUCCGGAAGAGGGGAGUGGAAUUCCUGGUGUAGCGGUGGAAUGCGCAGAUAUCAGGAGGAACACCGGUGGCGAAGGCGGGUCUCUGGGCAGUAACUGACGCUGAGGAGCGAAAGCGUGGGGAGCGAACAGG
rnacentral:rRNA from 1 species